rnacentral:rRNA from 1 species
UACGAAGGGGGGCUAGCGUUGCUCGGAAUCACUGGGCGUAAAGCGCACGUAGGCGGAUUGCUAAGUCAGGGGUGAAAUCCUGGAGCUCAACUCCAGAACUGCCUUUGAUACUGGCGAUCUCGAGUCCGGGAGAGGUGAGUGGAACUGCGAGUGUAGAGGUGAAAUUCGUAGAUAUUCGCAAGAACACCAGUGGCGAAGGCGGCUCACUGGCCCGAUACUGACGCUGAGGCACGAAAGCGUGGGGAGCAAACAGG